CAUAAUUUUUUGACUUCGUUUGCCUAGUGAACGAGUAGCCUCAAAAUGAACGGCUGAAAAUAAAAAUCUCAUAAAAAAUAAUGAUAAAGAACUCAAAUUUCAAAUCGGAGGUAUUGAUCUUACUAUUGACGUUAAGUAGAAUUUUCUAUUAAAUUUUCAUGUAAUUUGGAUACUUCUACACCGUUGAACUUAAAAACAUGCCGCAUCGGCCAUUAAAAUAGUCAUUUUUGAGACCUUUUGAUCGCUUAGUAAAUGAUGUCAAAAAAUUAUAAAAUUUGGUUUCUAGAUAGUUCCAAUAGGGUAGAUUAUACCUAACGGAGCCGAUCGUCGAAUCGGAUGUCCUAUCAUCGAAAACAACUUACAAGCACGGAGGUCCCCGUACUUUCAAAAGUAUAGUAGACGCACUCUAUAUAUAUAUAUAUAUAGAGCUAGGCUCCUAUGCUUUCGAAAGUACGGGAGCCUCCGUACUUGUAAGUUAUUUUCGAUGAUGGGACGUCCGAUUCGGUGAUCGGUUUCGUUAGACAUAAUCUACGCUAUUGAAACUAUCUAGAAACCAAAUUUCAUAAUUUUUUGACUCCGUUUGCCUAGUGAACGAGUAGCCUCAAAAUGAACGGCUGAAAAUAAAAAUCUCAUAAAAAAUAAUAAUAAAGGACUCAAAUUUCAAAUCGGAAGUAUUGAUCUUGCUAUCGACGUUAAGUAGAAUUUUCUAUUAAAUAUUCAUGUAAUUUGGAUACUUCUACACCGUUGAAUUUAAAAACGUGCCGCAUCGGCUGUUAAAAUAGUCAUUUUUGGGACUUUUUGAUCGCUUAGUAAAUGAUGUCAAAAAAUUAUAAAAUUUGGUUUCUAAAUAAUUCUAAUAUGGUAGAUUAUACCUAACGGAGCCGAUCGUCGAAUCGGAUGUCCUAUCAUCGAAAACAACUUACAAGUACGGAGGUUCCGGUAAUUUCGAAAGUAUAGUAGACGGACUAUAUAUAUAUAUAUAUAUAUAUAUAUAUGUGUGUGUGUGUGUGUGUGUGUAUGUAUGUAUGUAUGUAUGUAUGUAGAGUCCGGCUACAAUGCUAUCGAUAACACCAAGUAUUUGGUGCUAUCAAAUUUUCUGCCGUUAGAUCAACCCCUUUGACCAUUUUCACUUGUUAGAUCAUAUUAUUCAAGUAACCACCCACUCAACCUUAGGGGACAACUAUCAUCCUAAUCGUACAUCGCUUCAUCCAAGGGCCGAAAACUUAAUAGCACCAAUGACUUGGUACUGUUAAUAGUAUUCUAGCCUAGUUCUAUAUAUAUAUAUAUAUAUAGAGUUGAGCUGGAAUGCUAUCGGUAACAAACUGGCUCCGUUGUCACCCAUUUGUUUUCGAUGAUGGAGCCUUUUAAUUGACGAUCGACACCGUUGAACAUGACCUAUACCACUUGAAGUAUCUAAAACCAAAUUUCAAAUCUUUUCGACAUCAUUGACCUAAUGAUCAAAGGGUUUCAAAAUUUGUAAUUUUAAUAGUAGAUAUGAGGCGUUUUCUCGUUUAACGGUAUAAAGCUAUCCAAAUCAAUUGAACUUUGGUUAGAAAAUUCUUUAAACUAUUUAGAAUAAGAUCUAUACUCUCGAUCUUGAUUACAAAAUUCCUAUCAUCACUUUUUAGAGGAUAUUUAUUUUCAACCGUUCAUUUUUACGCCCACUUGAUGGACAAUAGAACAAUAUCGAAAAAGCAUAAUAUUUGAUUUCUAGAUACUUUAACUGGUAUAGAUCAUAUUCAACAGUGUCGAUCAUCGAUGUGGCGGCUCCAUCAUCGAAAAUAAAUGGGUGGCAACGGAGCCCGUUUGCUACCGAUAGUAUUCUAGCUCAACUCUCUCUCUCUCUCUCUCUCUCUCUCUCCCUCUCUCUCU
rnacentral:lncRNA from 1 species